rnacentral:tRNA from 1 species
GCAACUUUGGCCGAGCGGUUAAGGUCAGCUGAUCUCUAUCCUCAAAAUCCGAAUCAAAACUAACAUAAUAAACAGGCGCCAGACUCAAGAGAAAUUACCUCUUCACUGAUUACAGUGAGCAUUCUGGUCACGAAAGUGGCGUGGGUUCGAUUCCCACAGGUUGCA